rnacentral:rRNA from 1 species
AAUAUACGCUCGUGGUACACUCCCAACCCAAUGUGAACGUUACCAAACUGUUGCCUCGGCGGGAUCUCUGCCCCGGGUGCGUCGCAGCCCCGGACCAAGGCGCCCGCCGGAGGACCAACCAAAACUCUUUUUGUAUACCCCCUCGCGGGUUUUUUAUAAUCUGAGCCUUCUCGGCGCCUCUCGUAGGCGUUUCGAAAAUGAAUCAAAACUUUCAACAACGGAUCUCUUGGUUCUGGCAUCGAUGAAGAACGCAGCGAAAUGCGAUAAGUAAUGUGAAUUGCAGAAUUCAGUGAAUCAUCGAAUCUUUGAACGCACAUUGCGCCCGCCAGUAUUCUGGCGGGCAUGCCUGUCCGAGCGUCAUUUCAACCCUCGAACCCCUCCGGGGGGUCGGCGUUGGGGAUCGGCCCUGCCUCUUGGCGGUGGCCGUCUCCGAAAUACAGUGGCGGUCUCGCCGCAGCCUCUCCUGCGCAGUAGUUUGCACACUCGCAUCGGGAGCGCGGCGCGUCCACAGCCGUUAAACACCCAACUUCUGAAAUGUUGACCUCGGAUCAGGUAGGAAUACCCGCUGAACUUAAGCAUAUCAAUAAGGCGGAGGAAU